rnacentral:lncRNA from 1 species
UGAACAAUCAAACUUAAGAAACUUGGUGGGCAAGCAAGUGAUGAGAUCAUGAUUUACUUGCACGGGUCUUGACGGCGGUGACUUGCGGCGACUAAGUCAAUGACGGCAUGUCUCUCCGGUGGGCUGCAACAACCCAACGUCAAGAGGUGGUGAUGGGACGGUGGCACCAAAGUCACGGUUGUGUGUCCGACGUGACGAGGUGGCUAGGACGACAAGCAAGACAGUGACCUCGAGGCAAUGAUUCCAUCCUUUGAUCAACAUCAAUAUCAACAUCAAGAGAAGAAUAAAAUGGAGAGAAGGGAACAUGGAGAUCAUGAAUUAGGAAGAAGAAGAAGAAGGUGGUGUGGAGAAGAGUGCUGGCGGCUCACGUUUAGGAAGAAUAAGACAAUUAUAUAGUUAGGUAAAAUAAUUGGUUUACUAAGGGUUUUGUUCAAGAAAUAAUUAAAACUAAACCAAACCAUUAUUUAUUAAAACCGGAUUAUCGGGUCACGGUCGUUACAAUUCUUCCCCACUUAACCGGAAUUCGCCCCGAAUUCCAUGAAGAACCGGGAAAGAACUUCAACGGCUAUGAAAGAAAGAAGAACACAAGAUAAAGCAAACAACAAAACAAAUUGAAACUUGGUAUUCUCUUGCAAAAAUAAAAGAGUUAGUAACGCUAACAACUAACCAAAUGAUACUGGACAAAAGGGUGUCACCUUUUUUUUUUUUUUUUUUUAACUCUCAAUCCCAAAACAUUGAAAAUUGUUGAAAUCCGAGUCCCAUAAAUCGCCAUCCCGGGUCAGAGCCGGGACGGAACUCCGCUCUGAUACCAAAUUGUAACACCCGUAUUUUCCAAAAUAAAAUAAACAAAUAAAAUUCUGAAAUCUCCAUUUAUUACUUCUCAAAAGUUCAACUCCAAAGUCGUAAAUCCAAUAAAUAGCCAUAAAUCCAAAUAACAUAAUAAAUCUCGAGAAUAUCGAUAAAAGCAUAAAAUCCGCAAGUUUGAAAAAGAAAGAAAUAAAACUCCCAAAGCACCAAUCCGAUAGUAAUCACUCCUGCCCGUCGGUCUCACCUGAAAGGGGGAAGAAAGAGGGGUGAGUAACAGGGGAGUUACUCCGUGAGGUAUGAGAUGCUAAACCACAAACCACUGACUCAGUACAUAGCACUACGACUAUGUAGGCCUAGCUCUAGCAUGAAACAAACACGGUGUCUAAUACACCACAUAAAACAUCAAAUGCGCUGAUAGUGCAUAACUAGAUCACACACCCCGCAUUCUCCUUAUACGGAUAUAAAUAUAUAACUCUAUGCGCCGCUAGUACAAGAGUCCAUCCUUGUACCCCGCAAUCACCUAUGCGCCGCUAGUACAAACGUCUUUGUACCCCGCAAUCCCUCAUACAAUGCGCCGCUAGCAUAGACGUCCAUAUGCCCCGCAAUCUCCAUACAAUGCGCCGCUAACACAAACGUCUCUGUGUCCCGCAAUCUCCACACAAUGCGCCGUUAGCACAACAUCUUUGUGCCCCGCAAUCUCAUAACAGACUUAUGUAUAUACAUAUAUAAAUAACAGUUUUUAAUUCAUUCAAUUCAAUCAACCGUUGAAUCCUCUAUUAUCCUAUUUUCGGUUUAACAAUCAAUAAUAGUAAUAAACAAACAAGACUCUCAAACAGACUCAAUUCACAGAGACGGAUCAUGUUUCGAAACUAAACUUUCCAUAAUAGUAGUACUAAACUAGCUCAGGAUUUAAUGGGAUAGCCCUCACCUUAGCCAAUAUCGGAGAACCGGAAACAUAAAAGAAACCAAUGAUUGGAAAGGCUUAGACCGGCUUCACCUUAGCGCAUAAAGGAAACGAUCGGAAAAAGAAACAAAAAGAGACAGUUAGGGCUAGGGUUUACAGUAACUUCCUGCUCAAGAAAUAAACAAAGUCACUUAAACCUUUACGCAUGGGUUCACGGCUCAUGACGUUGGCUCAGAAAUUGGUACAAGUGAACAAUCAAACUUAAGAAACUUGGUGGGCAAGCAAGUGAUGAGAUCAUGAUUUACUUGCACGGGUCUUGACGGCGGUGACUUGCGGCGACUAAGUCAAUGACGGCAUGUCUCUCCGGUGGGCUGCAACAACCCAACGUCAAGAGGUGGUGAUGGGACGGUGGCACCAAAGUCACGGUUGUGUGUCCGACGUGACGAGGUGGCUAGGACGACAAGCAAGACAGUGACCUCGAGGCAAUGAUUCCAUCCUUUGAUCAACAUCAAUAUCAACAUCAAGAGAAGAAUAAAAUGGAGAGAAGGGAACAUGGAGAUCAUGAAUUAGGAAGAAGAAGAAGAAGGUGGUGUGGAGAAGAGUGCUGGCGGCUCACGUUUAGGAAGAAUAAGACAAUUAUAUAGUUAGGUAAAAUAAUUGGUUUACUAAGGGUUUUGUUCAAGAAAUAAUUAAAACUAAACCAAACCAUUAUUUAUUAAAACCGGAUUAUCGGGUCACGGUCGUUACAAUUCUUCCCCACUUAACCGGAAUUCGCCCCGAAUUCCAUGAAGAACCGGGAAAGAACUUCAACGGCUAUGAAAGAAAGAAGAACACAAGAUAAAGCAAACAACAAAACAAAUUGAAACUUGGUAUUCUCUUGCAAAAAUAAAAGAGUUAGUAACGCUAACAACUAACCAAAUGAUACUGGACAAAAGGGUGUCACCUUUUUUUUUUUUUUUUUUUAACUCUCAAUCCCAAAACAUUGAAAAUUGUUGAAAUCCGAGUCCCAUAAAUCGCCAUCCCGGGUCAGAGCCGGGACGGAACCCCGCUCUGAUACCAAAUUGUAACACCCGUAUUUUCCAAAAUAAAAUAAACAAAUAAAAUUCUGAAAUCUCCAUUUAUUACUUCUCAAAAGUUCAACUCCAAAGUCGUAAAUCCAAUAAAUAGCCAUAAAUCCAAAUAACAUAAUAAAUCUCGAGAAUAUCGAUAAAAGCAUAAAAUCCGCAAGUUUGAAAAAGAAAGAAAUAAAACUCCCAAAGCACCAAUCCGAUAGUAAUCACUCCUGCCCGUCGGUCUCACCUGAAAGGGGGGAGAAAGAGGGGUGAGUAACAGGGGAGUUACUCCGUGAGGUAUGAGAUGCUAAACCACAAACCACUGACUCAGUACAUAGCACUACGACUAUGUAGGCCUAGCUCUAGCAUGAAACAAACACGGUGUCUAAUACACCACAUAAAACAUCAAAUGCGCUGAUAGUGCAUAACUAGAUCACACACCCCGCAUUCUCCUUAUACGGAUAUAAAUAUAUAACUCUAUGCGCCGCUAGUACAAGAGUCCAUCCUUGUACCCCGCAAUCACCUAUGCGCCGCUAGUACAAACGUCUUUGUACCCUGCAAUCCCUCAUACAAUGCGCCGCUAGCAUAGACGUCCAUAUGCCCCGCAAUCUCCAUACAAUGCGCCGCUAACACAAACGUCUCUGUGUCCCGCAAUCUCCACACAAUGCGCUGUUAGCACAACAUCUUUGUGCCCCGCAAUCUCAUAACAGACUUAUGUAUAUACAUAUAUAAAUAACAGUUUUUAAUUCAUUCAAUUCAAUCAACCGUUGAAUCCUCUAUUAUCCUAUUUCCGGUUUAACAAUCAAUAAUAGUAAUAAACAAACAAGACUCUCAAACAGACUCAAUUCACAGAGACGGAUCAUGUUUCGAAACUAAACUUUCCAUAAUAGUAGUACUAAACUAGCUCAGGAUUUAAUGGGAUAGCCCUCACCUUAGCCAAUAUCGGAGAACCGGAAACAUAAAAGAAACCAAUGAUUGGAAAGGCUUAGACCGGCUUCACCUUAGCGCAUAAAGGAAACGAUCGGAAAAAGAAACAAAAAGAGACAGUUAGGGCUAGGGUUUACAGUAACUUCCUGCUCAAGAAAUAAACAAAGUCACUUAAACCUUUACGCAUGGGUUCACGGCUCAUGACGUUGGCUCAGAAAUUGGUACAAGUGAACAAUCAAACUUAAGAAACUUGGUGGGCAAGCAAGUGAUGAGAUCAUGAUUUACUUGCACGGGUCUUGACGGCGGUGACUUGCGGCGACUAAGUCAAUGACGGCAUGUCUCUCCGGUGGGCUGCAACAACCCAACGUCAAGAGGUGGUGAUGGGACGGUGGCACCAAAGUCACGGUUGUGUGUCCGACGUGACGAGGUGGCUAGGACGACAAGCAAGACAGUGACCUCGAGGCAAUGAUUCCAUCCUUUGAUCAACAUCAAUAUCAACAUCAAGAGAAGAAUAAAAUGGAGAGAAGGGAACAUGGAGAUCAUGAAUUAGGAAGAAGAAGAAGAAGGUGGUGUGGAGAAGAGUGCUGGCGGC